rnacentral:tRNA from 1 species
GGGGGUAUAGCUCAGUGGGAGAGCAGCUGCUCAGCAUGCACGAGGUCCUGGGUUCAAUCCCCAGUACUUCCA